rnacentral:tRNA from 1 species
GUGGGUAUAGCUCAGUGGUAGAGUGCAUGCUUAGCAUGCAUGAGAUUCUGGAUUCAAUUACCAGCCACU